AUGCUUACAAAGGCGCAAUGGAUCGCCCUGUCGAAAGAAAAGCAAGGCGGAUCUACGAGCAGCGGCAAGAAGAAGGGGAAGGGGAAGCAGCGCUCGGCGAGAAAGAACUUCGCUGACUCGGACGACGAGGAUGCGCCUGCACCACCGAGGAGGAAGUUUGACAUCAGAAAAGUGAGGUGUCAUAAGUGUGGCCUCCUCGAUCACUUCAAGGCUAACUGCGAAGAAGCACCGAAGCAACGGGCGCUUAUGGCCGAGGAAGGAGACGAUGGGGAUAUGAUGCUAAUGUGCGAGCUAGUGGACGAAGAGGAUCCAGAUGAUCUUGGUCAGCCGGACACGGGUCCGGUGAGUGCAUCUGCGUCAGUAAACCCAGGCGAAGUUAUGGCGCCAGAAGACCAUGACCCAGGGCGUGAUAGUGUGAUUACGUCAGUAAACCCAGGCGAAGUCGUGGCGCCCGAAGACCAUGACGUAAGGCGUGACGAUGUGAUCGCGCUCGAGAACGGCGAAGACGUGGCGCCAGAAGUCCAUGACACAAGGCGUGACUGUGUGUUCGCGCUAGAUUCAGGCGAUGACAUGAUGCCAGAAGUCCAUGACACGAGGCAUGAUUAUGUGGUCACGCUGAAAUCAGGCGAAGACGUGGCGCCAGAAGUCCACAACACCAUGUGUGACGGUGUGGUCACGCAAGAAAACAACAAAGACGUGUUGCCAGAACAACCGGAAACUUCGGCAACACGGAGCGAUGCUCCAGACGAUGGCGCGCGGCGAGACGCGUCAGGGACCUCACCUGGAUCAGCUGGCGUCCCAGGAACAGGAGUUGCAGCCUCUCCUCGAAGCACAAGGAGCAGCGCAAGGAGCGCGUCUAGUGCUGGCGCUACAAGCGACACGCAUGGCCUACGAGGCAUGCACGCUGUGCCGUGCAGCUCAGCCAGCUGCACUGGAGGCAGUGGCCCCGCGGACGGGCCGAAAGCUGGGCGUGGCCCAGCACCAAGCUCCCAGCCGGGGAGCCCAGCAGGCAGGCCGGCUACUGGCAGGCCAGAACAGCCAGAAGGCCCAGCCGUGGCUCAACUUUCAGUAGAACACGUGGCUGGAGGACCAGAAGGGCAUGCACGUGAAGCAUCUCUAGUGUUUUUGGCUGGUUCAACUUGUGAAAGUGCAGCUAAUUUGGAAGGUACCAAAUUGCUAGAAAAUGGAACUUUGGCAAGUUCAGAAGCAAGCGUGUUUUCUCCGGUAGCACGAGAACGACGCGUGUUGGAUCUCUCUCCAAAGGAAGCGCUUCAAAUAAAUUCGGUGACGAUGAAGAGUAAAGGGCAACGAUGUUUGCACAUCGGGGAACCGGAAAAUUUUGAAGACGCAAAGACGGAAGAGUGUUGGCGUCGUGCUAUGAAUGAAGAGUUGUGGUCGAUCCGAGACAACAAUACAUGGGAGCUCGCGGAUCUUUCCAACGGUCAGAAUGCCAUAGAGCUCAAGUGGGUGUACAAAGUCAAGAAAGAUGCCGAAAGGAACUUGAUGAAGCAUAAAGCAAGGCUUGUAGCUAAAGCAUGCAUGCAAAAGCAAGAUGUGGACUUCGAAGAAGUGUUCGCUCCAGUUGCAAGGAUGGACUCGGUGAGACUACUUAUAGCUUUCGCGGCUCAAGAAUCUUGGAGGAUACAUCACUUGGAUGUGAACUCCGCGUUUUUGACCGGGGAGUUAGAAGAAGAAUUGUAUGUGAAGCAACCACCAGGGUACAUCCAAGAAGGAGAGGAACACAAGGUAUUGAAGCUACACAAGGCGUUGUACGGGCUACGACAAGCUCCUCAGGCAUGGAAUGUUGAGCUUGACCGUACAUUGAUUUCUCUUGGAUUUGAGAAAGCCCCACUAGAGCAUGCUAUGUACAAGCGAGGUGAUGGCAAUGAUCGUCUACUAGUGGGCAUCUAUGUGGAUGAUUUGCUGAUAACUGGAGCAGACGAAGAGGUGAUUGCAAACUUCAAACUACAAAUGAAGAAGCUAUUCAAGAUGACUGAUCUAGGGCUCUUGAGUUACUACCUCGGGAUCGAGGUACAGCAAAAGCCGGAGGGGAUCAUAAUAUGCCAGGAGGCAUAUGCAAAGAAGGUACUUGAAAGCUGUGGCAUGAAAGAUUGCAAUCCACCUCGUCACAGACUAAGCAAGAAGAGUGAAGCACCCGCGGUUGAUGCAACGGAGUAUAGAAGUGUGGUCCGAAAGUUGAGGUAUCUCACGAAUACAAGACCGGACUUGGCCUAUUCCGUUGGCAUAGUGAGUCGCUUCAUGGAAGCACCCAUGACGGAGCAUUGGGCAGCGGUGGAAAAUAUACUCAGGUACAUCAAAGGGACAACAAAUUUCGGUUGUGUCUACUUGAGAAAGAAGAAGAAGGAGAUGGUGGAGCUACUUGGCUACAGUGAUAGCGACAUGGCAGGAGAUGUGGACGACCGUAAAAGUACCUCGGGUGUGGCAUAUUUUUUGGGAGGAAGCAUAGUGAGUUGGCUGUCACAAAAGCAGAAGGUGGUCGCAUUAUCAUCUCGUGAAGCAGAGUAUAUUGCAGCUGCAACCGCGGUGUGUCAAGGUGUGUGCCUUGGAAGGCUACUCGGUGACCUCACAGGUAAGGAACCGGAAGGAGUGGUGUUCAAUAUUGAUGACGUGUCUACAAUCUCUCUAUGGAAGAAUCCAGUGCAUCAUGGUAGAUGCAAGGACAUCGAUAUGAGACAUCACUACCUAAGGGAGUGUGUGGAAGAAAGCAAGAUCGACAUCAACUACAUUUGCACCGAUGACCAGCUUGCAGAUAUCCUAACCAGAUCUUUGGGACGACAGAAGUUCGUGAAGAUGCGGCGAAGGAUCGGCGUCCAAGCUGUGAAGUGA
rnacentral:rRNA from 1 species